AGAGUUUGAUCAUGGCUCAGGAUGAACGCUAGCGGGAGGCCUAACACAUGCAAGCCGAGCGGUAGAGAUUCUUCGGAAUCUUGAGAGCGGCGUACGGGUGCGGAACACGUGUGCAACCUACCUUUAUCUGGAGGAUAGCCUUUUCGAAAGGAAGAUUAAUACUCCAUAAUAUAUUGAUUGGCAUCAAUUGAUAUUGAAAGCUCCGGCGGAUAGAGAUGGGCACGCGCAAGAUUAGUUAGUUGGUGAGGUAACGGCUCACCAAGACGAUGAUCUUUAAGGGGCCUGAGAGGGUGAUCCCCACACUGGUACUGAGACACGGACCAGACUCCUACGGGAGGCAGCAGUGAGGAAUAUUGGUCAAUGGGUGCAAGCCUGAACCAGCCAUCCCGCGUGAAGGACGACUGCCCUAUGGGUUGUAAACUUCUUUGUAUAGGGAUAAACCUACCCUCGUGAGGGUAGCUGAAGGUACUAUACGAAUAAGCACCGGCUAACUCCGUG
rnacentral:rRNA from 1 species